AGUAGUGACCUGCUCCCCGUUGAUUAGUACACCCCGAUGUUAGUAAUGUCUUCAUAAGCCACAUGAGGACAUCCCCAUGAAGAAGCGUUUUUCCGACGAACAGAUCAUCAGUAUUCUCCGCGAAGCCGAAGCUGGGGUACCCGCCCGUGAACUCUGCCGCAAGCAUGCCAUUUCCGAUGCCACGUUUUACACCUGGCGUAAGAAGUAUGGCGGUAUGGAGGUGCCUGAAGUUAAGCGCCUGAAGUCGCUUGAGGAAGAGAACACCAGACUCAAGAAGCUGCUUGCCGAAGCCAUGCUGGAUAAAGAGGCGCUUCAGGUGGCUCUUGGGCGAAAGUACUGACGACAGACCAGAAGCGGGAAGCCGUGAUGUUGAUGUGUGAUGCGACCGGUCUGUCGCAACGUCGUGCCUGCAGGCUUACAGGUUUAUCCCUGUCGACCUGCCGCUAUGAGGCUCACCGUCCGGCUGCUGAUGCGCAUUUAUCAGGGCGCAUCACUGAGCUGGCACUGGAGCGCAGGCGUUUUGGCUACCGUCGUAUUUGGCAGUUGCUGCGCCGUGAAGGGCUUCAUGUUAAUCAUAAGCGCGUGUACCGGCUUUAUCACCUCAGUGGCCUGGGCGUAAAACGCAGAAGACGUCGUAAAGGGCUGGCAACAGAACGUCUGCCGCUGCUCCGUCCGGCGGCGCCCAAUCUGACCUGGUCGAUGGAUUUCGUCAUGGACGCACUUUCCACCGGUCGCAGGAUCAAGUGUCUUACCUGCGUCGAUGAUUUCACAAAGGAAUGCCUGACGGUCACUGUUGCCUUUGGGAUUUCAGGCGUUCAGGUCACGCGUAUUCUGGACAGCAUUGCACUGUUUCGAGGCUAUCCGGCGACGAUAAGAACUGACCAGGGGCCGGAGUUCACUUGCCGUGCACUGGAUCAAUGGGCCUUUGAGCAUGGUGUUGAGUUGCGCUUAAUCCAGCCGGGCAAGCCAACGCAGAACGGAUUUAUUGAGAGCUUUAACGGACGAUUUCGCGAUGAAUGUUUGAAUGAGCACUGGUUCAGCGAUAUCGUUCAUGCCAGGAAAAUUAUUAAUGACUGGCGGCAGGAUUAUAACGAAUGCCGCCCGCACUCCACGCUGAAUUAUCAGACACCGUCUGAAUUUGCAGCGGGCUGGAGAAAGGGUCAUUCUGAGAAUGAAG
rnacentral:lncRNA from 1 species